GACGUAGGGCGCGAGCGUUGUCCGGAUUUAUUGGGCGUAAAGAGCUCGUAGGCGGCUUGUCGCGUCGUCCGUGAAAACCUGCGGCUCAACUGCAGGCUGGCGGUCGAUACGGGCAGGCUGGAGUUCGGUAGGGGAGACUGGAAUUCCUGGUGUAGCGGUGAAAUGCGCAGAUAUCAGGAGGAACACCGGUGGCGAAGGCGGGUCUCUGGACAGUUCCUGACGCUGAGGCACGAAGGCCAGGGGAGCAAACGGG
rnacentral:rRNA from 1 species